GAUGAAGAACGCAGCGAAACGCGAUAGGUAAUGUGAAUUGCAGAAUUCAGUGAAUCAUCGAAUCUUUGAACGCACAUUGCGCCCCCUGGUAUUCCGGGGGGCAUGCCUGUCCGAGCGUCAUUACAACCCUCAAGCUCAGCUUGGUAUUGGGCCCCGCCGACCCGGCGGGCCCUAAAGUCAGUGGCGGUGCCGUCCGGCUCCGAGCGUAGUAAUUCUUCUCGCUCUGGAGGUCCGGUCGUGUGCUCGCCAGCAACCCCCAAUUUUUUUCAGGUUGACCUCGGAUCAGGUAGGGAUACCCGCUGAACUUAAGCAUAUCAAUAAGCGGAGGA
rnacentral:misc_RNA from 1 species